GUGGGGCGUUUGGCCGCCGAGGACUCUGGGAAAUGUAGUUGGGGCGCGAGCUGGACCGAGCGCUUCGGUUAGCGGUCGCCGGCCGCCGCACCCAGGAAGCGACCUGUGCACGAACAGGCCGUUUCCUGGGACACAUGACACCUCCACAAUGGGUACAAGAGCCACCAGCAUCACUAGUGUCAGCGACUGGGGAGUCUGUUGAGAUGUGCAUCUGGAGAGCCCUGCCCUCUUGGAGCCCUGGAGGCCCUUUGGUUCCACUUUGGCUGAAAGGCUGAGCAUCUGGCUGACAGCAUGUGUUCGUUCCUGACUUCAUGCUGUGAUGACACAGUAGAAAGCGAGUGCCACAAAUCUCGCGUCAGAGCCCCAGGUGUCAGGGGCUGGGCUUGGACACUCUCGCCCCUGCCUCUUUGCGCUGACAGCAGCAGCAAAAGGAGAAGUCGUCUUGGGGAGGGUCUGCAGUUCAACCAAGGAUACAGCAUGCAGCCCACCACCACUAAGAAAUCUGCCCAUCAUAUCAACAUUGAGGAGAUGGCUCAGUUGUUAAAUGACCUUGCUUACACAGCCUGCCUGCCUGCCUGCCUGGGUUUGAUUCCCCAGUACGCACAUGAAGCCAGAUGCACAAAACGAAUGAAAGGUCCUGGAAGAAAAACCACAUAUGUCUUGGUCCUCCAUUGCCCGGAGCACCUCUGAGCUGCCAGACCCCAAGAAGCGCCACGUGGCUUGGCGGCUCUGCUGCUCUGAACACUGUGCUUGUUUGUUCCUAGUCCUUUGACUGAAGAUGAGACCUGCCUCCUUGGAUGGUUAUUGGUCAUUCUCUUCAAGGACACACCGAGAGGAAGGUCAUCUCCUACUUCUUACUGCCCCUUCCUCCCUGUCUCCCACGGCCAGGGAGACCAGCCAACCACACUGGCCUUGAAGACCCCACCAGGUGGGGGGAGGCCCGCAUUGCCUCCCUUUUGCUAAGGAGAUGUAUGUCACUAGUUGCUUUGCAUGGAGAUGCGAAAGGGUCCUUGGGGGAGGAACAGGUGGGAACUAACCAAGAGUCAGUACUGCUGUGGUCUGUUCUGAGCAUCCGGGUUGUGGAAAGCUGGCUUAGGGACCAUCUUCAUGUUUUCGUGGCUCUGAAUGAUAAGAUUGUGUUUGGGGCCUGGCUCUGUUUGCACAGUCCCUACCCUGGCACCAGGCACUCGCAGGGUAUCUGCUGAUGGAGUAAUGGCUGCACAGUUCCUUGGUGGCCACUCCAAAGAGGGCAUGUAAAGACAUCCCCUUGAAAGUCAUGCCCACUUAAGAGUCAGAUCUGACACUUGGGCAUAAGAAUUAGGAGACUCAGGAGUUCAAAGUCAUCCUUGGCUGUGAAAUGAGUUGGAGGCCAGCCUAGGCUACAUACAACCUUGGAGAUCCUGUCUC